AGCAGCCGCGGUAAUUCCAGCUCCAAUAGCGUAUAUUAAAGUUGUUGCAGUUAAAAGCUCGUAGUUGAACUUCGGGGUCUACCCAUUGGUCAGGCUUAAUUGUCUGCACUGGUGAGAUGGAUCUCUACCUUCUGAGGAACUUUCAUGCCAUUUAUUUGGUGUGAUGGGAAAUCAGGACUGUUACUUUGAAAAAAUUAGAGUGUUUAAAGCAGACAUCGUCUGAAUACAUUAGCAUGGAAUAAUGAAAUAGGACGGACUGAUUCUAUUUCGUUGGUUUCUAGGAUCACCGUAAUGAUUAAUAGGGAUUAGUUGGGGGGCAUUAGUAUUCAAUUGUCAGAGGUGAAAUUCUUGGAUUUAUUGAAGACUAACUACUGCGAAAAGCAUUUGCCAAGGAUGUUUUCAUUAAUCAAGAACGAAAGUUAGGGGAUCGAAUGACAAUCAGAUACCGUCGUAGUCUUAACCAUAAAACUAUGCCGACUAGGGAUCGGACGAAGUUAA
rnacentral:rRNA from 1 species